GCUGUGGGCUGUGCGCAUGCGCGGCAGCGCCGCUGCCCCGCGCCCUGGGACGGCGCUGCCCCAUGGCCGGGAGCCGCGCGCGGGCAGCGCUGCGGCCCCGGGACAGCGCGGGAUGCGGUGGGCGAAGACGGGGAAACACUAUACAUGGAGGGGAUUCCAGAAGAAGAGACACCUGUUCGGCACAGAUCACACUGCCCACGAGAUGUUUUCAUCUGCAAAGAACCAACAGUGUCUGGGUAAACACUGAAAGAAACCCUGCUGUCAGAAGGACUCGGAGUCACUCAGCCCUCUCCCCAGUGGAAGUUUCCACUUCUCACAGUGUUCGUCCUGAAUGAUCCUGCUUGGGCAAAAGAGGCAGCAAGUGAGCUCAAAGCCUUCCUAAAGAACCUCUGGAGCAGCCAAGAAUAAACAGGGAUUUGCCGGCAGCCUGAGUGCUGCAUGCGCUUUGCAUUCAAUAAGACCUUGGCCACUGAGAUCUUUAAUGCAGAGGAGUGGGAAGAGCACAGGCUGCUGCAGGUAAUGCUCCCUGUGGUUUCUCCCAGCUUUUCCACUGGAUCCGCCACAGAACAGGCUGACAGCAUCCCAGCUGAAGCACCCCAGGGAAGGGAGAGCUCACGCUCAGACUCUGAGGAGGUGGAAAACCUGAAACCCCAAGCGCAGGGUAGUAAAAAGCAGAGAAACAAAGGCAAUAGCCACUCUCCCACCUGAUUUCUCCUUGACCGACUGCUUGUCGAGCGCUAGCCUGAUCCUUUCCUCCUGAACAAACAUGCGGUGGAU